rnacentral:tRNA from 1 species
UGCGGUUGAUAGCGGUAGGCAAGGGGACUGAAAAUCCCCGUGUCGGUGGUUCGAUUCCACCCCUGGCCACCA